UACGGGGGGGGCAAGCGUUGUUCGGAAUUACUGGGCGUAAAGGGCUCGUAGGCGGCCAACUAAGUCAGACGUGAAAUCCCUCGGCUUGACCGGGGAACUGCGUCUGAUACUGGAUGGCUUGAGUUCGGGAGAGGGAUGCGGAAUUCCAGGUGUAGCGGUGAAAUGCGUAGAUAUCUGGAGGAACACCGGUGGCGAAGGCGGCAUCCUGGACCGAUACUGACGCUGAGGAGCGAAAGCCAGGGGAGCAAACGGG
rnacentral:rRNA from 1 species